GACGAACGCUGGCGGCGUGCUUAACACAUGCAAGUCGAACGGAAAGGCCCUGCUUUUGUGGGGUGCUCGAGUGGCGAACUGGUGAGUAACACGUGAGUAACCUGCCCUUGACUUUGGGAUAACUUCAGGAAACUGGGGCUAAUACCGGAUAGGAGCUCCUGCUGCAUGGUGGGGGUUGGAAAGUUUCGGCGGUUGGGGAUGGACUCGCGGCUUAUCAGCUUGUUGGUGGGGUAGUGGCUUACCAAGGCUUUGCCGGGUAGCCGGCCUGAGCGGGUGACCGGGCAACAUGGGAGCGGGAAUCGGGCCCAACUCCCUACGGGAGGCGCCAUGGGGAAUAUUGCACCAAUGGCGGAAACCUUGAGGAGGCAAACCGCGUGCGGGAUGACGGCCUUCGGGGUGUAAACCCCCUUCGGCUGUGGAGGAGCGUGGAGGAAGGUUAUGGGUAAAGGAGGAACGGCUAAACAACUG
rnacentral:rRNA from 1 species